rnacentral:tRNA from 1 species
GUGCGGCUGCGACGGCUGGUGCGGCUGCGGCGCUUGCGACGCGUCGAUGGCGGGCUCCGGUCACCUCGGGGGCAGCGCG